rnacentral:tRNA from 1 species
GUGGGUGUGGCUCAGUGGUAGAGUGCAUGCUUAGCAUUUAUCAGGCCCUGGGUUCAACCCCUAGCAUCUCCA